UCUUUUGUCGGAGAGUAAAGUACGCUACGUGUAGCGUAUUGCAAGUAUCCGAAGAAAAAGCAUCGGCUAACUCCGUGCCAGCAGCCGCGGUAAUACGGAGGAUGCAAGCGUUAUCCGGAUUUAUUGGGUUUAAAGGGUGCGUAGGCGGCACGCCAAGUCAGCGGUGAAAUUUCCGGGCUCAACCCGGAGUGUGCCGUUGAAACUGGCGAGCUAGAGUACACAAGAGGCAGGCGGAAUGCGUGGUGUAGCGGUGAAAUGCAUAGAUAUCACGCAGAACCCCGAUCGCGAAGGCAGCCUGCUAGGGUGAAACAGACGCUGAGGCACGAAAGCGUGGGUAUCGAACAGGAUUAGAUACCCUGGUAGUCCACGCAGUAAACGAUGAAUACUAACUGUUUGCGAUACAAUGUAAGCGGUACAGCGAAAGCGUUAAGUAUUCCACCUGGGGAGUACG
rnacentral:rRNA from 1 species